AUACGUAGGUGACAAGCGUUAUCCGGAUUUACUGGGCGUAAAGGGCGUGUAGGCGGUCUUGCAAGUCAGAAGUGAAAUUCCUGAGCUCAACUCGGGCGCUGCUUCUGAAACUGCAGGACUUGAGUGCUGGAGGGGAUAGCGGAAUUCCUAGUGGAGCGGUAAAAUGCGCAGAUAUUAGGAAGAACACCGGUGGCGAAGGCGGCUAUCUGGACAGUAACUGACGCUGAGGCGCGAAAGCGGGGGGAGCAAACAGGAUUAGAUGCCCUAGUAGUCCACGCCGUAAACGAUGAAUACUAGGUGUAGGGGGUAUCGACUCCCUCUGUGCCGCAGUUAACACAAUAAGUAUUCCGCCUGGGGAGUACGGCCGCAAGGUUGAAACUCAAAGGAAUUGACGGGG
rnacentral:rRNA from 1 species